UGCCAGCAGCCGCGGUAAUACGUAGGGUGCUAGCGUUAUCCGGAAUCACUGGGCGUAAAGGGUUUUGUAGGCGGUAAGUUAAGUGGUGGGUUAAAGACUAAGGCUCAACCUUAGAAAUGCCCAUCAAACUAACUAACUAGAGAUAGUUUGGGGAUGCUGGAAUUCUCGGUGUAGUAGUGAAAUGCGUUGAUAUCGAGAAGAACACCAAAGGCGAAGGCAGGCAUCUAAGACUUAUCUGACGCUGAGGAACGAAAGCUGGGGUAGCGAAAGGGAUUAGAGACCCCUGUAGUCCCAGCCGUAAACGAUGAACACUAGCUGGUCGGAAUUUAUUUCUGGCUGGCGCAAGCUAACGCGUUAAGUGUUCCGCCUGGGGAGUACGACCGCAAGGUUAAAACUCAAAGGAAUUGACGGGGAUGCGCACAACCAGCGUGCCAUGUGGUUUAAUUCGAUACAAAACGAUGAACCUUACCUAGACUUGAUAUCCUGAUCAUAUCUUGUGGGAACACGAGAGUCGGUUCGGCCGGAUCAGUGACAGCUGUUGCAUGGUUGUCGUCAGUUCGUGUCGUGAGGCGUCCUGUUAAGUCAAGUAACGAACGCAACCCCUGUUGUAUGUUAAAUAUCCAUACAAGACUGCCCUUCUUAUUAGGGGGGAGGAAGGAGGGGACGACGUCAAAUCAGCAUGACGCUUACGUCUAGGGCUACACACAUGGUGUAAUGGGUGGAACAACGGGUCGCGACAGGGUAACCUUGAGCUAAUCCUUAUAAAUCCACCCUCAGUUCGGAUUGUGGGCUGCAAUUCGCCCACAUGAAGGGGAGUUGGUAGUAAUCGCAGGUCAGCUAUACUGC
rnacentral:rRNA from 1 species